rnacentral:tRNA from 1 species
AAGAUUUUAAGUUAAAUAAACUAAUAAUUUUCAAAAUUAUAAAUAAAUAUAUGUUUAAAUCUUA